rnacentral:rRNA from 1 species
GGACUACACGGGUAUCUAAUCCCGUUCGCUCCCCUGGCUUUCGUGUGUGAGCGUCAGGAACGCGCCAGUAGAGUGCCUUCGCCUUUGGUGUUCCCCACGAUAUCAACGGAUUUCACCCCUCCACCGUGAGUUCCCUCUACCUCUCGCGCCCUCGAGCCAAGCCGUUUCGUCCGCGGGCCGCGCGUUAGGCGCGCGGAUUUUACGGACGACUAACUUGGCCGCCUGGACACCCUUUACGCCCAGUGAUUCCGGGUAACGCUCGGGGCCUCUGUAUUACCGCGGCUGCUGGCAC